rnacentral:rRNA from 1 species
CCUACGGGAGGCAGCAGUAGGGAAUAUUGCUCAAUGGGGGAAACCCUGAAGCAGCAACGCCGCGUGGAGGAUGAAGGUUUUCGGAUUGUAAACUCCUUUUGUUAGAGAAGAUACUGACGGUAUCUAACGAAUAAGCACCGGCUAACUCCGUGCCAGCAGCCGCGGUAAUACGGAGGGUGCAAGCGUUACUCGGAAUCACUGGGCGUAAAGAGCGCGUAGGCGGGAUAGCAAGUCAGAUGUGAAAUCCUAGGGCUUAACCAUAGAACUGCAUUUGAAACUGUUAUUCUAGAGUAUGGGAGAGGUAGGUGGAAUUCUUGGUGGAGGGGUAAAAUCCGUAGAGAUCAAGAGGAAUACUCAUUGCGAAGGCGACCUGCUAGAACAUAACUGACGCUGAUGCGCGAAAGCGUGGGGAGCAAACAGGAUUAGAUACCCCUGUAGUC